UAUGUGACUUAUAACUAUGAGCCA
rnacentral:siRNA from 1 species